UUAGGAAUUGUUGGAGAUCGGCUU
rnacentral:miRNA from 2 species